UGGACUAGCAUUACCUUAAUGCCCUUGGACAUUUUUCUUAAAGCAUGAAAAGGAGGAGCAUAUUACCUCCAGUGGAAAAGGAGAAAGAAUAAUUCUGUAAGUUGAAAAAAGACCCCAUCACAAGGACAGCCUCCUAAUUCUUAUAAAGUUUUUCAUAGGAUUUUAUAGUUCCUUUUGAGAAAACCAAUAAAACAAAAGAGCAAAAGCCCACUUUUCCUUCCACGUGGGGAUCAUUGGAUUUAGAUCUGCUUCAGAAUGAAGACUCAUUGCAUCAUCUGUACAGUGCUUGGGCUUUAUUAUAGCUGUUUGUUGUAAGUAGAGACUUAGCCAUAUUUUAUGAAGCUCAUAGUGACUGACAGAAUCAAUGUCAAAGGAAACAACCACCUGAAGUUGAUCUUAUUUUACCAUGCAGAAUACUUGUGGAAAAGGGAAGAAAACUUUUUGUCUUUUGCUGAAACAGAAGCCCCCAGUGAAAGUGUGGGUAAGGAAUGGAUUGAAGAGGAUCAAGAUAAACUUUUGUGAUGUGACUUCUCUCAUCACCAGGGAGUUGACAGACCCCCAGAAGAGUCUCCAGGUUAAUGCAGCAGCAAGAGCAAGCAUAGGUGAGGGUACCAGAGGCACCUCCCAGACAAGGCCUCAGAGAAUGAAAGGUCACCGAGAAUGGGCUAGCUGUCUUUUAUGA
rnacentral:lncRNA from 1 species